GAUUAUCGAAGGAUAUGACCUGAAUUCAUAAUC
rfam:Flavobacterium frigoris PS1 66_8, whole genome shotgun sequence.